UACGAAGGGGACUAGCGUUGUUCGGAAUUACUGGGCGUAAAGCGCACGUAGGCGGAUUUGUAAGUCAGGGGUGAAAUCCCGGGGCUCAACCUCGGAACUGCCUUUGAUACUGCAAAUCUCGAGUCCGAUAGAGGUGGGUGGAAUUCCUAGUGUAGAGGUGAAAUUCGUAGAUAUUAGGAAGAACACCGGUGGCGAAGGCGGCCCACUGGAUCGGUACUGACGCUGAGGUGCGAGAGCGUGGGGAGCAAACAGG
rnacentral:rRNA from 1 species